GUGGGGAAUAUUGGACAAUGGGCGGAAGCCUGAUCCAGCCAUGCCGCGUGUGUGAAGAAGGUCUUCGGAUUGUAAAGCACUUUAAGUUGGGAGGAAGGGCAGUAAGCUAAUACAUUGCUGUUUUGACGUUACCGACAGAAUAAGCACCGGCUAACUUCGUGCCAGCAGCCGCGGUAAUACGAAGGGUGCAAGCGUUAAUCGGAAUUACUGGGCGUAAAGCGCGCGUAGGUGGUUCAGCAAGUUGGAGGUGAAAUCCCCGGGCUCAACCUGGGAACUGCCUCCAAAACUACCGAGCAAGAGUACGGUAGAGGGUAGUUGAAUUUCCUGUGUAGCGGUGAAAUGCGUAGAUAUAGGAAGGAACACCAGUGGCGAAGGCGACUACCUGGACUGAUACUGACACUGAGGUGCGAAAGCGUGGGGAGCAAACAGGAUUAGAUACCCUUGUAGUCC
rnacentral:rRNA from 1 species